rnacentral:rRNA from 1 species
UGGGGAAUUUUGGACAAUGGGCGAAAGCCUGAUCCAGCAAUGCCGCGUGCAGGAUGAAGGCCUUCGGGUUGUAAACUGCUUUUGUACGGAACGAAACGGCUCACCCUAAUACGGUGGGCUAAUGACGGUACCGUAAGAAUAAGCACCGGCUAACUACGUG